rnacentral:rRNA from 1 species
UGCAGUCGAACGAUGAAGCCUUUCGGGGUGGAUUAGUGGCGAACGGGUGAGUAACACGUGGGCAAUCUGCCCUGCACUCUGGGACAAGCCCUGGAAACGGGGUCUAAUACCGGAUGACACUCUUUCUCGCAUGGGGGAGGGUUGAAAGCUCCGGCGGUGCAGGAUGAGCCCGCGGCCUAUCAGCUUGUUGGUGGGGUGAUGGCCUACCAAGGCGACGACGGGUAGCCGGCCUGAGAGGGCGACCGGCCACACUGGGACUGAGACACGGCCCAGACUCCUACGGGAGGCAGCAGUGGGGAAUAUUGCACAAUGGGCGGAAGCCUGAUGCAGCGACGCCGCGUGAGGGAUGACGGCCUUCGGGUUGUAAACCUCUUUCAGCAGGGAAGAAGCGCAAGUGACGGUACCUGCAGAAGAAGCACCGGCUAACUACGUGCCAGCAGCCGCGGUAAUACGUAGGGUGCGAGCGUUGUCCGGAAUUAUUGGGCGUAAAGAGCUCGUAGGCGGCUUGUCGCGUCGGAUGUGAAAGCCCGGGGCUUAACCCCGGGUCUGCAUUCGAUACGGGCAGGCUAGAGUGUGGUAGGGGAGAUCGGAAUUCCUGGUGUAGCGGUGAAAUGCGCAGAUAUCAGGAGGAACACCGGUGGCGAAGGCGGAUCUCUGGGCCAUUACUGACGCUGAGGAGCGAAAGCGUGGGGAGCGAACAGGAUUAGAUACCCUGGUAGUCCACGCCGUAAACGUUGGGAACUAGGUGUUGGCGACAUUCCACGUCGUCGGUGCCGCAGCUAACGCAUUAAGUUCCCCGCCUGGGGAGUACGGCCGCAAGGCUAA